rnacentral:rRNA from 2 species
GGGCGUAAAGCGAGCGCAGGCGGUUUUUUAAGUCUGAUGUGAAAGCCUUCGGCUCAACCGAAGAAGUGCAUCGGAAACUGGGAAACUUGAGUGCAGAAGAGGACAGUGGAACUCCAUGUGUAGCGGUGAAAUGCGUAGAUAUAUGGAAGAACACCAGUGGCGAAGGCGGCUGUCUGGUCUGUAACUGACGCUGAGGCUCGAAAGUAUGGGUAGCAAACAGGAUUAGAUACCCUGGUAGUCCAUACCGUAAACGAUGAAUGCUAAGUGUUGGAGGGUUUCCGCCCUUCAGUGCUGCAGCUAACGCAUUAAGCAUUCCGCCUGGGGAGUACGGCCGCAAGGCUGAAACUCAAAGGAAUUGACGGGGGCCCGCACAAGCGGUGGAGCAUGUGGUUUAAUUCGAAGCUACGCGAAGAACCUUACCAGGUCUUGACAUACUAUGCAAAUCUAAGAGAUUAGACGUUCCCUUCGGGGACAUGGAUACAGGUGGUGCAUGGUUGUCGUCAGCUCGUGUCGUGAGAUGUUGGGUUAAGUCCCGCAACGAGCGCAACCCUUAUUAUCAGUUGCCAGCAUUAAGUUGGGCACUCUGGUGAGACUGCCGGUGACAAACCGGAGGAAGGUGGGGAUGACGUCAAAUCAUCAUGCCCCUUAUGACCUGGGCUACACACGUGCUACAAUGGAUGGUACAACGAGUUGCGAACUCGCGAGAGUAAGCUAAUCUCUUAAAGCCAUUCUCAGUUCGGAUUGUAGGCUGCAACUC